GUGGGUGCUAGGACUUGCCUUCAUUGACGUUUCCUAGGUUGAUCAUUGUCUUGACCUCUCGUGUUUCUGGAUCUUUAGCUUCUUGUCGGAGCCUGAUCAGGCUAGCAUAUCUAUGAGUCUUCUGGAUGAUCGGGCCUUCGGUUUUAGCCUUCUAGAUCCUUGAUUUCCAGCCGGGUCUUGGUCACAUCCUUGGAUCACACAGGCAUAUAAACAAGCAAACAAAUAUACAAUCAAUUCUAGCAAUCAAUGUAUGACUAAAGAAGAUGGGAAAGGACGGUUGAUGGACAUUUUAACAAAUAUAUAAAAUUGUGGAAUUUCUAAGAGAAUUCUAAGAAAUUAGGAAUGGAUUUUUAGAGUUUUGGAUGGGCAGCAUAACAGCUAGGGUUUGAUUGAUAUCUAGGGUUUGAAUUGGGCAGCAUAUCUAGUUGGAUGAUAUUUGGGGUCUUUAGUUGGGUGGUAUAACGGCUAGGUUGGGUCAGUUUAUGUGGUUUUGAUUGGGCGGUACAACAAUAGGGUUUUGGAAUAAUUUGAGAUUUUGGAUGGGCGACACUACAACUAGAUGGGGUUAAGGAUUAGGGUUUUAGUUGAGUAGCAUCCCAACUGGGUUUUGGAAUAGACUUUGGGUAAUAUUAGAUUCUGGGUGAUGGGAGUGGAUUUCAAGGUUUAGAAAACUUGUACGACAAGCUUGGCUUUGACCCUAUGGAGGGUGGAGCUGGCCAAGUUUCCUUAUCUAGGGUGGAACUUCAGAGCUUGUGCGACAGUUGGUCUGGCAAGAUCAAGUGGAAGCUAGAGAACUUGUAUGACGGACACCACUUGCCCUGGUGCUA
rnacentral:lncRNA from 1 species